rnacentral:rRNA from 1 species
CACGUAGGGCGCGAGCGUUGUCCGGAAUUAUUGGGCGUAAAGAGCUCGUAGGCGGCCUGUUGCGUCCGCUGUGAAAGCCCGGGCUUAACCCCGGGUCGGCAGUGGAUACGGGCAGGCUAGAGGUAGGUAGGGGAGAAUGGAAUUCCCGGUGUAGCGGUGAAAUGCGCAGAUAUCGGGAGGAACACCGGUGGCGAAGGCGGUUCUCUGGGCCUUACCUGACGCUGAGGAGCGAAAGCCAGGGGAGCAAACGGG